rnacentral:rRNA from 1 species
UACGAAGGGGGCUAGCGUUGCUCGGAAUUACUGGGCGUAAAGCGCACGUAGGCGGUCUUUUAAGUCGGGGGUGAAAUCCUGGAGCUCAACUCCAGAACUGCCUUUGAUACUGGCGAUCUCGAGUCCGGGAGAGGUGAGUGGAACUCCGAGUGUAGAGGUGAAAUUCGUAGAUAUUCGGAAGAACACCAGUGGCGAAGGCGGCUCACUGGCCCGGUACUGACGCUGAGGUGCGAAAGCGUGGGGAGCAACAGG